GUUCCUUCGUCCCGCCGCUCGCUAGGCCGUACGACGGUUCCGCAUCCCCCGUCCGAUCUCAACGGCCCCUGCCAAAUCUACCCUACCGCACGCCGCACCCCCGCACGCACGCACCACUCCUUCCCCGUCCCGGCCGCCGCACCACUCCUUCCCCGUCCCCGCCGCUGCGUACCCGGCAUCCCCGACGAAUCCGCCGCCGCCGCCCGCACCGUCCCGGCCGCCGUACCGCUCCGUCCCCGUCCCCGCCGCUGCGUCCCCGGCGUCCCUGACGAAUCCGCCGCCGCCAUCCGCACCGUCCCGGCCACCGUACCGUCCGCACCAUCCCGGCCACCGUACCGUCCACCUGCGUCCCUGUCGGAUCCGCCGGUCCGCGCCGUCCCCGGCGGAUCCGCCGCCACCGUCCGCAACGUCCUCCUGCGUCCCCAGCCGGAGGUGUUGGACAAGAUCAAUCAGUUUGAUCAUUUUUUGUCCGCGAGCGGCUCCAGGAGGUGACCCUCAUCUCCGCGUACAGGCUCGAGCCUCCUCCGAUCUGCCGUCCGGAGGGCUAUAGCGAGGAUUGGGCGUGCGUCGCCACCACCCUCGCAGUGCCCGCCGCGGGCGCGCGUGCUCGCCAAAUCCGGCGGGGAAGACGGCACAAUAGUUGAGCUAGCUGGCGGCCGGGUGGUGGGCUCACUCUUCCGGUGCCGUUUUCGGCAAUAAUGCCACCUGCAGUGCUGCAAUGGAGGCACCGGCAAUGACGCGUUAUUGGAGUGCAGCGGCCAGCAGGGUUUUAUCCUGCCCCUGGCAGUGAUGCAAGACCAGAUGUUCGUGGUGAUGUCCACCAUUGGCCGGGCUGCGGUCCAUGUUGUUCUGGCUUGCUCCAUGAGAUCGACGCGCUCGUCCGACCCGAGACUGAGAGGAAAUGUAGACUAGCUGUUCGAGGAAAUGCCUGUGUAGCCGUCAGCAUAUAUUUGUUGAUUGAAAAGUUCAUUUAUUGAUGGUGCCCAGUGCCAGUGCCAGUGCCCUUCUUCAUGACGGGCAUCAGCUCUGUGAGUGAGAUUGCUCUCACUGCAUGCAGCAUUAUGAUAAAUCAAUGGUGUGUUCAAAGUGUGCAUCUUUCUGAAAUUUGUUGUGCUACUUCUUAUCUGAAGAAACUUUAGAAAUUCUGUACAAGAAUAGUUUUUACUCGAUGGCUUUGUAAUGUCAUUGAAGUGGAUGACAAGCACUUUCGUUCUGUAUAUUUCCUUCUUCACGUGUUCAAAACAUAAAUAGUCCAGUUAUGCUAUAUAUUUUUUUCGGAAGUAGCAUGUUCAAGUUA